rnacentral:misc_RNA from 1 species
GUUACGCGGGUUAUGCUGGGUUAAGCCUCAUGACAAGUGGUGCGAGUGGUGCGGUGGUGCAAUUCAUGCAAUUAUGUUCAUUUUCACUUGGCAUUAUUUGUGAACGUAAAGAUGUGAAUAAUGAAAAUAACUGAUGUAUUGUCAUUUUACAAAAAAAAACCGCUUCGCCUGAACUAAUGUCCUGACUUAUGCCUAAUUUAAUAAUAUGUAAUUGUUUGUACUUUAUCGAUUUGUUCUAACCUCAACAAGUGUAAUGCUCGUUUUACGCGGACUCCAGAAUUCAAAUUCUCUCGUCGUGUUGGGUGGCAUCGCUUUGUGUCUCUUAUUUAUGAUUCAAAUUAAACAAAUCUACAAUAACAAUCAGAAAUAUAACAGAUAUCUGAACUAUAAGCAAUAUAUGAGUGAAAUAGCAACAGAAUUAAGAACGGUAGUAAAAUCCAUUAACAAAUCGUCAGCUUAUGUCCAUCAAUUAAAUGAGAUGCUUACCAAAUAUCGUGAAAGAGAGUCAAAGAAUAUUUCAACGACAAAAGUUACUGUACCGUCGUAAAUACCUUAGAAGUUCAUAAACUAAGAUUACCUGGAAGGUCGGAGAUACGUAAAAAUCUUGAUCGAUAGGAAAUGGCAUUCUGUAGUUGAUAUUGUGUAUAAGCUUGUGGCGUUUAGUUCUAAUUGCACGCAUAGGAUAAUACAUGUGUAUGAAGAAGACGCAGCGUAUUACAUUCACAAUUGAUAUGUAUAUUUAUAUACACAUAUACCUUCGAGUAGUAAUGGCAAAAGUGAUUUGCCAGUAAGUUGCGAAGAGGAUAUUUCAUUGGAAUCUUCAUCCACCAAUAUCUCUUCGAGCAGCCUCGGUAUCCUGAACAUAGUAUGGCACUUUAACUUGCUCCCAUUGAUAAUAUAUUGGAUUCCAAUCAGGAAUUGUACCCAUUCCAACAUCACCAUUACCGAAUUUCUCACAAAAAUUGCCAUAUUCUGGAUGAGUAUGCCCACAUCGAUGUGGAUCAUGAAAAGCAACAUAUAGAAAGAAAGAUACUGGGACAUAAAAUGUAUAAACAGAAGAUAACGCGCUCAGCGCGCUACAUUUUUGUUCCACUCUCCAUUUAAAGGGAGGAGUACAGUGAAUACAUAAGCAUCAAAUAAAAGAUAACAAGAUUGGGAACAAUAAAAAGACAAUAGCCAAAGGACGAUCAAUUGUAGAUAAAAUGAGUAAAGAAAGAGUAAAGACAUAAUUUGAAAACAUCUAUGUUUAGAAUGUUUCAAUAAACUACAUCAAAGAAGCGUAAA